ACUGUGCACAAGGAAUCGAAAUCUAUCAAUUCAAAUCAAUCAAUGUUAAAAAUUUAUAAUAAUUAUUCUUGCAUUAAAUACAAAUGAAUGCAUACCGAAAAAAAUAAAUUUCCCUAGAAAAGUUAAGCAAUAGAACAAUUUAGCGAAUAAUGAAUUCCUUUAACGUUAGGAGUUUCGAUCGAUUUUAAUGAAGUGCAAAGGAGAAUUAAAUGAAGUCGUUUAGGCAAAAUGAAGUUUGCAAUCCAAAUUUUCCCAUAAACGUUCCACUAAGGAACUGGGGCAAACUUCUCACAAAUCACUGAGUGCUAUCCGAUUCAAAUUUGAAGCUCAAUGAUGGGGCGUGCCUUUUUGGGGAGAAAUUCUAACAUGGUAUAGUUUUUCGCAAAUGUCACCAACAUUAGGAAAUGAUAGCCACCGCUGAAAAUUUCUUCUGAUGUUUCGAACCGUGGUGUUCUGCGUUAUAGGCGGACACGCGCUACGGUAGCCUCUGAAAAAGGCGAAGAUUGCUUUUUGUAAAAAUGGUUUAUGUGAAAUAUCUAAAAAUUAUAUUUGCUGAAUUUUUGAGUUUGUACAAUAUACAGAUAUCCAAUAAAAUAAUAAAAACAA